CAUAUGGCUUAAUCGAAGACCAUGUUUAAUGAAAUAUUAAAAGCUACAUUUUGUGGUUCAAAAGUAAGCCAAUAGCAAUUUUUGUAACACGGUCAUGGCUUUAUUUCUAUAAUAGUACUGUCAUAACACUUCGUUCAAUUACAAGU
rfam:Stomoxys calcitrans breed 8C7A2A5H3J4 unplaced genomic scaffold Scaffold1886, whole genome shotgun sequence.